GGAAGGAAGAAGGGGGGAGGGGAGGCAAUUCAGCGCAGUGCAAGCGGACUGGAUCAGUAGCAGCCGCGACACAGGCAGCAGCAUCAGCACCACGAGCUGUAGCAUCUUCCUUUGUGGCUGCUGGAGGCUGUGUUGUGGCUGCGACGAGGCAUCCACGCGCACGCACGCACGCACGCGCACACGCACGCACUCGUUUGCGCGGGUCGCGCUACAAACACGCAUGUCGUGGUGGCCACCGGGGCGCAGGUAGCCAGUGACGGGGCUCCGGGGACAGAGGGACGCGGCCGGCGGUAGCGCGGACGGGAGGAGGGCUGGAGCCACGGCCGCUGGAGCAGACGCGGCACCGCACGCGGCACCAUGGCACAAGCCGCCAAGCAGCUCCGCAAGACCAAGGACCUCGCCGAGGCCGCGGCCCAGGAGCAGAGGGAGAAGGAGGAGGAGAAGAUAAAGAAGAGGAAUCGGUCCAGGGACCGCAGGCGUAAGGCUGACGCGGCCACCAGCUUUCUGCGAGCGGCUCGGUCCGGGAACCUGGACAAGGCUCUGGACCACAUCAAGAACGGCAUCGACAUCAACACAGCGAACCAGAAUGGCCUCAACGGGUUACACCUGGCCUCUAAAGAAGGCCACGUCAAAAUGGUCCACGAGCUGCUGCACACUGGCAUCGAGCUGGAAGCCACCACCAAGAAAGGGAACACCGCCCUUCACAUCGCGGCGCUGGCCGGGCAGGAGAGGGUGGUGGCCGAGCUGGUCCGCUACGGCGCCAACGUCAACGCCCAGUCACACAAAGGCUUCAGUCCUCUCUACAUGGCAGCACAGGAGAAUCACCUGGAGGUGGUCAAGUUCCUGCUGGAGAACGGCGCCAACCAGAGUCUCCCGACUGAGGACGGCUUCACCCCGCUGGCCGUGGCCCUGCAGCAGGGCCACGAGAACGUGGUGGCGCUGCUCAUCAACUACGGCACCAAGGGCAAGGUCCGGCUGCCGGCGCUGCACAUCGCCGCGCGCAACGACGACACGCGCACGGCCGCCGUGCUGCUGCAGAACGACCCCAACCCCGACGUGCUCAGCAAGACUGGUUUCACGCCUCUACAUAUUGCAGCCCACUAUGAAAACAUGAGCGUCGCCCAGCUGCUGCUGAACAGAGGAGCCAAUGUGAACUUCACACCCAAGAAUGGCAUCACCCCCCUCCACAUAGCCUCCAGGAGGGGCAACGUGAUGAUGGUCAGGCUUCUGCUGGACCGAGGGGCACAGAUCGACGCCAAGACCAAGGAUGAGCUGACUCCUCUCCACUGUGCUGCCAGGAACGGUCACGUUCGAAUUAUCGAGAUCCUGCUGGAACACGGUGCUCCCAUCCAGGCCAAAACCAAGAAUGGCCUGUCCCCCAUCCACAUGGCAGCUCAGGGGGACCACAUGGACUGCGUCAGGCAGCUGCUCCAGUACAACGCUGAGAUCGAUGAUAUUACGUUGGAUCAUUUAACGCCUCUCCAUGUAGCAGCCCACUGCGGUCACCACCGCAUGGCCAAAGUCCUGCUGGACAAAGGGGCCAAAGCCAACGCACGCGCUUUAAAUGGCUUCACACCUCUCCAUAUUGCCUGCAAGAAGAACCACAUGCGGUCCAUGGACCUGCUGCUCAAGCACUCGGCCUCCUUAGAAGCUGUCACGGAGUCUGGCCUCACUCCUCUACAUGUAGCAGCUUUCAUGGGCCACCUGAACAUAGUGAAGAACCUGCUCCAAAGAGGAGCUUCACCCAAUGCUUCCAAUGUGAAAGUGGAAACCCCCCUUCACAUGGCCUCCAGAGCGGGACACUGUGAAGUUGCUCAGUUUCUGCUGCAGAACACAGCGCAAGUGGACGCCAAGGCUAAAGACGACCAGACACCCCUCCACUGUGCAGCCCGCAUGGGCCACAAGGAGCUGGUGAAGCUGCUCCUGGAGCACAAGGCCAACCCCGACUCGGCCACGACCGCGGGCCACACGCCGCUGCACAUCGCUGCGCGGGAGGGACACGUGCAAACCAUCCGCAUCCUGCUGGACGCGGGAGCACAGCAGGUCAAGAUGACCAAGAAAGGCUUCACUCCCCUUCACGUGGCCUCCAAAUAUGGAAAGGUGGACGUGGCAGAACUCCUGCUGGAGAGAGGAGCCAAUCCCAACGCAGCUGGGAAGAACGGUCUGGCGCCGCUUCAUGUGGCCGUCCAUCACAACAACCUGGAUGUUGUUAAACUCCUGGUCAGCAAGGGAGGAUCUGCACACAGCACUGCCCGAAACGGCUACACCCCCCUGCACAUAGCGGCCAAGCAGAACCAGAUGGAGGUGGCCAGUUGUCUGCUGCAGAAUGGGGCGUCGCCCAACGCCGAGUCGCUCCAGGGCAUCACGUCCCUGCACCUGGCCUCGCAGGAGGGUCGGCCCGACAUGGUGGCGCUGCUCAUCUCCAAGCAGGCCAACGUCAACCUGGGGAACAAGAAUGGACUGACGCCGCUGCACCUCGUGGCCCAGGAGGGACACGUGGGCAUCGCCGACACGCUGGUCAAACAGGGAGCGUCGGUUUACGCCGCUUCACGGAUGGGCUACACGCCGCUGCACGUGGCCUGUCACUACGGCAACAUCAAGAUGGUGAAGUUCCUCCUGCAGCAGCAGGCGCACGUGAACAGCAAGACGAGGAUGGGCUACACCCCUCUGCACCAGGCGGCUCAGCAAGGCCACACUGACAUUGUCACACUGCUGUUAAAACACGGAGCUCAGCCCAACGAGAUCACAUCAAACGGGACGUCUCCUCUGGGCAUCGCCAAGCGGCUGGGCUACAUCUCUGUCAUUGAUGUGCUGAAGGUGGUCACGGAGGAGUCGGUCUCUGCGAUCACGACAGAGAAGCACCGCAUGAGUUUCCCUGAGACCGUGGACGAGAUCCUGGACGUUUCGGAGGAUGAGGGGGUUGCCCAGCUAACGUUAGGAGACGAGUUGCUGGGGAUGGAUGGCGCGCGAUACUUGAAGCUUGACGACUUCAAGGACCAAGACGAUGACUUCCUGUCUCCUAAGAAAACUCUUAGAGACUUUGAGGGUGGGAUGGGAACCACGCCGUACUCUCCUGCUAUUCCCAGAAUCCCUUGCGUGUCCCCAGAGACAGUUAUGCUGGAUCAGCACACCCCUGUCCCGCUGCCAAAGGAGUACGAUGAGGACUCUCUCAUCCCCAGCAGCCCGGCUACAGAGACGUCAGACAACGUCAGCCCCGUGGCCAGCCCUAUUCACACGGGCUUCCUGGUGAGCUUCAUGGUGGACGCUCGAGGGGGCUCCAUGCGCGGCAGCAGACACCACGGCCUGCGGGUGAUCAUUCCUCCUCGGACCUGCGCCGCGCCGACGCGCAUCACCUGCCGCCUCGUCAAACCUCAGAAGCUCACCACCCCCCCUCCCCUGGUGGAGGGCGAGGGCCUCGCCAGCCGUAUCAUCUCCUUGGGGCCGUCCAGCAUGCAGUUCCUUGGGCCGGUGAUCGUGGAAAUCCCUCACUUUGCCUCUCUGGGCCGAGGCGACAGAGAGCUGGUGAUCCUCCGCAGUGAAAAUGGCUCCGUCUGGAAGGAACACCGCAACCGCUACGGGGACGAAGUGCUUGAAACUAUUCUAAACGGAAUGGAUGAAGACCUGGAGAGUCAGGAGGAGCUGGAGAAGAAGAGGAUCCGCCGGAUCAUCUCCACCGACUUCCCCCUCUACUUCGCCGUGGUGUCGCGCAUCCAGCAGGAGAGCGACCUGAUCGGCCCCGAGGGCGGCCGGCUGAGCAGUAAGCUAGUGCCCCAGGUGGAGGCCAUCUUCCCUGAGACAGCCGUGACCAAGAGAGUGAGGCUGGGCCUGCAGGCGCAGCCCAUUCCUGACGAACUGCUGACUCGGCAGCUCGGUAACCAGGCGACCUUCAGCCCGGUGGUCACCAUUGAACCGCGCAGACGCAAAUUCCACCGUCCAAUCGGCUUGCGCAUCCCAUUGCCUCCGUCCUGGAGGGAGAGCCCUCGCGACGCCGGGGAGGGCGACACCACCAGCCUGCGCCUCCUGUGUAGCGUCAUCGGUGGAACAGCGCCAGCUCAGUGGGAGGACAUCACCGGAACCACCAAGCUGAUGUACGCCCAUAACUGUGCCAACUUCACCACCAACGUUUCUGCGAGAUUCUGGCUCGCCGACUGUCCCCGCACCGCGGAGGCCGUGACCUUUGCCAACCUGCUGUACCGGGAGCUGAUGGCCGUUCCGUACAUGGCCCGCUUCGUCAUCUUCGCCAAGAUGAACGAAGCUCGUGAGGGACGCUUGCGUUGUUACUGCAUGACCGACGACAAGACGGACAAAACGCUGGAGCUGCACGAAAACUUCACCGAAGUGGCUCGCAGUCGAGACAUUGAGCUGAUGGAGGGCAUGCCGCUGCACCUGGAGUGCUCCGGGAACCUGGUGCCCGUCCGGAAGGCCACGCAGCAGCCUCGGAGCUUCAGCUUCCAAGCGUUCCGGGACAACCGGUUACCGGUCUCUGUCAAGGUCAGAGAUAGUAACAAGGAUGCUGCAGGGUUUUUAUCCUUUCUGCGUAAAUGCACCAAGUACGAGGACGCACAGCAUGUACUGUGUAAUCUCAACAUAACCAUGCCACCGUGUGUCAAGGUUGUUGGGAGUGAGGAGCGCCGGAGAACUUUAACCCCGCUCGCCCUGAGAGAACGCUACAGCGCGCUGAACGAGCCGAGUGUGGUCACCGUCAAUGCCAUGGAGAGGACUGAGAUCAAAAUCAAUAUCAUAGCUGAGCAGCUGGGGUUGAGCUGGGCAGAGUUGGCGAGAGAGCUUCAGUUUGGAGUGGAUGAUAUCAACAGGGUCCGCGUGGAAAAUCCAAACUCUCUGCUAGACCAGAGCUCAGCGCUGCUCAACCUGUGGGCCAGCCGAGAGGGCAAGCGGGCCAAGAUGGAGAACCUGUACACUGCUCUGAGGAACAUCGACCGUGCAGACGUGGUGACCUUCCUGGAGGGCCAGGCUCCACAGCCUGCGCCCGGCUCCUUGGAGGAGGGGGCCUGUCGGCUCAGCGACCGCGACUCCGCCCUCCUGUCCCCCGGUGCCAUCAACGGUUAUGGGCUGGUGCAGGACGAGCUGCUGUCCCCCGCCUCCAUGCAGUACAGCUUACCGUCUCCACUGGGCGUGGAGCCUUACUGGCAGGAGGUCUCCAGUCUUGAGUGCGCCCCCAUUGCAAUGACAGAGGAAGACACGUUGCUGGAGAUGUCGGACGUUCAGGUGUGGCCGGCGGGAGUCAGCCCGUCGCUGGUGACGGUGGAGGACUCGUCACUGGAGGGCAGCAGUCGCGCCGACGACUCGGAGGGCGCCACGCUCUCGCUUCCCUGCAGCCUGGGUCGCCCGAGCAGCGGCGCCAGCGGGGCCAGCGGCUCCAUCAUGGAGCUGGAGGAGGAGGAGGAGGAUGAGGAUGAGGAGGGGGAGGUGGAGGAGGAGGAGGCCCCACAGGAGCCGGCGAGUGCACUGGCAGAACGGGACAGGGUGAGGGCCAGUGGCGCCGUUCCCAAGGUCAACCUGAACGGCCAGCUGGGAGGUCAGAGGUCAGACGGCAGGAGAGGGGAGGCCCUCGCGGCAGGAGGAGGAGCAAAAGGAGGAGGUGUAGGGCUGGGUUCAGUGGAAGGGAUUUCUGUUGUUGCAGGCCAGCAGGUGUACGGCCAGCGGCGUGAGGCGUCGGGGGUGAACCGGGCCGCGGAGCACAACGGAGACAACCGGGUGGUGGGAGGCGGCGCCUUUCAGCCGUACCUGUCGGACAAGGACUCGGUGCAGAGCUGGGUGGGCUCGGUGACGCCGGGCCGCGACGGCAGCGUGCCGGGCCUGCGCGCGGCCCAGGAGGCCCUGCUGGCGCCGGUGUGUGACACGGGUGGGACUCAUGGGCUGCGUGGGCGCCCCCUGCUGGGCCUCUCCCAUCGGGAGGCCAGCCAGCAUUGUUGGGGGCAGGAGCAGAGGCGGGUCCAGGUCUGGUUACCAUGGCGACCACCUGCCGCUUCCUGCGCCUGGAGGGGGAACAUCAAAAUGAACCACUUUGAUGCAAUUAGAGUCUGAAUGAAUGUGUUGUGUGGUGCAACAUGUUCAAAAUGACAUGGUUUUGCAUUUCUAAUUUCACAAACAGAGAAUUUCAAUUCAUGUGUGUACAUAUUCUUGUGUUACAGAGGGAGGAGAAAGGUGACUGUGCUGCCGCAGCGCAGUUCGUUGAAGAACGUGGAAACGUUCUUUCUAGAAAGGAACGGAAAGCCACUGCCAAACCCUCCUCCACCAAAACACAACCAGGACGCAAAGGAAAAUGAACCAAGGGAGCGCGGAGACGACUACAAGAUGACAAACGCAGAACCAUCCUCUACCUGUGACCAUGGAGCACCACAAAAGAAAAAGAAGAGGAGGAGUCCAAUCUGUAGUUUUAUAACAUUUGUAAAGAAAAAUAUCAGCCAGACUAAAAGCAUGACGAUUCUCUUUUUUAUACAAAAGAAACAAAAAACAUAAAUGUCGGUAAAUGAACCAAGAAAAAAUACGCAACAAAAAGUGCUUCCUGUGAACUGUAAUCGCAUGAUGACUGCUGGUGCAUGCCCUUUGACCUUUUGAACUGUCUUUAUCUACAAACUGAAGGGGUACAAGGUGCGGGGCUGGCCCGGCCCGCCUGUGGCCUGCAGGCCGCUUUAAGGACCUCUCCCCCCCAAAACUGGAGUAGUUAGUGUCAGCGAGUGGAGUCCAAUAACACUACAGCCAAAAAGAGUCCCAGGACGGACGACUGGGCCCACGCUUCACCGGACGCGCUCCCCUGUUAUUCGCAAUGUGAUAUAUGCACUCUCUGCUAUGUGGACAUGUGUUGCUGUGGGUAUGUGUGUGUGUGUGUGUGUGGGGGGGGUAUUCUGUACCGCAUGUGUUUCUGGCUUCUGGCUCGGUGCUGAGCCCUGGCCCAUGAUCGGCUUCGUGCCCCUGUGAUGUCACAGCGCGCUCAGCGCUGGAAUGAGAACGCCGCUGUGCUGCUUGUCUGCGUCUUUUACCUGUUUGCUGUUUCUCCGGAACGUGUCCGCCUCCGUUUUCAGUCCUGUUUAACUUUGGCACGAAGAGGGGGGGGGGGGGUGAACCUCUUUGAUGCCUUGUGUUUUCAGGAGAAAUUUGUUUUCCAGACAUCAGGAAUGUUUUAUGGGGGGGGGGCUUGAUAGCAUCGCGCUGCAGGUGCACAGAGAUCGUCGUUCUCCUCCAUCGUGACCUUUUUGACCUUCGUUUCCCCCAGUAGCACACGUCAUCUCCAUCCACAGUCUCCAUCACCUGGGCCCAUAUGCAGUGAACUCACAGGCCUCUCCAUGAGCAUGCGCUUGACUCUGUAUCUGCUCGCUCUCGUGUCCGUUUGCAGCAGCUGUAGCUCCUCACUGUCCGGGUUUGGCUCGUUCGUUUGAAGGAGGAUCUGGUUCCUGAGCGGCUGGAGGAUUCACAGCAGUGUUAUGGUGCAGUGGGGACAGACAGGUAGCACUGUGAUUGUCUGACAAACACGGACCCCACACUCGUGAACUGUGAAGACACACAAACAGAAGCACACACACGUUAAGGAUUCCGUCGCAUAAUCAAACAACCAUCGUCUGGUCAGUAUGUGAAGUAGCAUGGGACGUUUACCGCAGCAAUAAUAACAAACAAGAGGAAGGUCGAAUGACUCAGCUCCUCAGUGAACACAGAAACUCCAUCUGGACGAGGACGAGAGCGCGUGCGCGUCCGUGUGCGACUCUGGGCGGCUGUGAUGUGACUGAAUGAGUCAGAGCGGACUGACGCGCUGAUGCAGGAGGCCUGAGGGGAUCCUUUGCUUUUCAGCACUCACCGUAGCAAACAAACCAGGUUAUGUUCAAACACAGAUACCUACUGUACUAAGGAGUCUGCUGCUGCUGGAAGGUGGAACCCACCGAACUCCGAUCUCUUUUCUUCCGAGUAAUAAGUCGUAUUUGUUGUCACUGUAGACGCCCGGUGUUCUCUUUAUGCAGAAACCUGACGGCUUCUCUCUGAGGGGGGUCAUGUCAUAGUAGCACACAUUCCCCGGAGCCACAACCAUCCCAUCCCAAGUACUGUAAAUGCUACCGUAGCCUGAAUGAAUGAACCAGCGCGUCUGUUCUCCGCCUCGUCCCACAGAGCACACGUUCACCACAUGUCACCUGUUCUCCACUCAGGUUUUUUCCGUUCUGCACCGUCAGGAUCCAGUUGUUUUCAAGUUCCGCGUCCUUCUCCCCGAGACGAACGCGGCGCAAAGAGGUCGCGGGGGCGCGUGGGUGAGUGCACGGAGCAGGACGGCGUGCGAGCGUGCGUGUUGCGUGAAUGCGUCCACGGCGUGCGUGGGCUUUGACAUUGGCCUCAUACGUGACACGCGUGACCAAAAUCAGCAGCAGCCAUUAUUAAAGACCCAUUUUACACACAGAUACAGGAGGUUGUGACACAACACUGUUUUAUUUUUGCUGGAUAUUAUUGUUUCAGAGGUCGUGUGCACACGUGACACGUACGUGGACGUUCUGAUGAAUGCAGCUCCACCGUGUUUGUGUUGAAUGGACCGCGUGCAAGUGCGUGCGUGCGUGCGUUUACGAUGCUCGGUUGCGAAUCCGGUCGGAUCAGGGGGAAGAAUGUGACUUGGGAGGACGUGUAACCUACAACAAUGUAUUUUAAAAGAGUAUUGUACAAUUCUAACCGUUGCAAAGACCUAGAGAUCACCUAUACUCCUUUAGAAUGGAUACAUGACAUUGUAAACGCAAUAUCGUAAUACUCUAUCCUAAGGAAUGCAACUGCGCACAUGCACAAAAAAGAUGUUUUUAUGAAAAUAUAUGUAUAAAUAUAUGACAAAAUCUAUUUAAUUAGAAUGCUAUGCACCCUCAUAGAGUUGUUAUGGAUGUUCUUUAAGCAUUAUCUAGACUAGGCCGACGCCCACAUCAUGGGUAAUGUAGAGGCUUCGUAGCUAUGAUCACUUGUUUUCUUUUCUUUUGUAUCGUCCUUGAGAGAGGAGAAACACACGUGAAUAUGUAAACAAGCUUUUCAAUCAGACUCAAGAUAUGUAUAGAUCAUCUUACCCUGUACACCAGCUCAAACCAUUUACAAGGAUUAAUAAACAAAGAUGUGACAUAAA